ACGUUUCUUCAUUCUCCCCAACUCUUCUCUCUCCCUCACCGUCUCUCUCUUUCUCUCUAUCUUCCUCUCUUCUCUCUCUCUCUCUCUCUCUCUCUAUAUUGAUUCUUGGCUGAAAUACCCAAUUCAUAUUAUCAGCAUAAUCGGGGCUGCGUGGAUGCUUUAGCAAAGGGUAUUAAUGAUCAGCUCAUAUGAUUAGAAAUAUUGGGAAGUCGGAUUUAUAGUGGUGGUGGUCUCCAGCAGCAGUCGCCGGCGGUGGUGGCUGGAAUCCGACAAAGAAGACGAGCUGUCCAGAAUUUCAAUUUCAGAGUUUUGCCUUUUCCGUAAAUCAAUUAAACGGAGGUCUUAAAGAUGGAGCAUCGAUGAUCCGAAGGUACCGUUCGAAACCUUAAUAAGUUAGAUUUCCAGUGGUGGUGGUUCUUGAUUGUUAACAUCAGCGGUGGUCACCGGAAUUGGCUAGAACUUCAGCUCGCUCGUUGAAACGAAGGGAAGCAAAAUCUGUUGCCGCACCUGUUUUCGGAGCCGAAAUCGAAGGGUUUCGAAUGCGAAUUUCGAAUCAGUUCCUUCAGGAAACUCGUAGAGGACAUCGUAAACUAUAAGUAAGUGUUCAAUUGUAUCGAAUUAGAGUAUGUAAUAUGCAUGUUUUAGAGGUCCGAAUCCGAUGACAGUAAUCUGCCGGAAACAGGGCAGUUUUGAGUAUCUUCUUGCGGGACUGUUUUCGAUAUGUUGGAUCAUAAUUUGGGCUAUGUGCCUUCAUGACACUUGUAGAUUAAACUGUCAGGUUUAAUUUGAUGUAUUGUUUGGACAAUUUGGAUAACCGUACAAUUUGUUAUGAUUUUUCAAACGGGCUGUGACAGUAAACGAAAUUAUCCGAAAAUCUGGCAGGGGUAUGUGUUCAUCUUUCGGGGUUGUUAUUGACGGGUUAUGUUGUUAAUUUGGGAUUAAAGUCUUCAGUAAACUUGUAGAUACAGAUGUUAUCUUUAACUUUAUAUAUCAUUUAGGUCAUUCGGAUAAGUACGACGAUCGCAGUGAUUAUUUGAAUAGAGUGCCACGAGAAGCAAUUCUUAGUAUAUGUUUAAGAAAUUGACUAUGUCAUAUAGUGGAUGGUAAUAUGGCUAUAUUACUGUUUGGAUUCUUAUUUAGUUCUAAUAUUUGCAUAGGUGUUGAGCGUAGUAAAGCUCUGACUCAAGGUAUAAGCUUAAAGAUGCUUAUAGCACUUCUAUAACACUAGCGUUGGACUCCAGGUGAGAAACUAUGACUCCUUAUCUGAUUUCUUUCCUGCGCUUAAUAUCUCCUUUGUUUGAACCAAAUAUAUUCUCCAUCUUGAAUCCUUUGAUGCAUUGAUUAUAUUUUUCUUGGAAUAUGAUCCUUAAUGUUCUGCGAGCAUAUUCGUUUCCUUGGCUCGAACUUGGAACCUUGAUCUCUUGAACUUUUCAAUUCUCUUGGUUGCUAUGUUCACGGCUAAUUCCUAUACUUGAUUCCUUGGCCCGAACAUUUUCCUUGAAUCGAUAUUGAACUAUAUUUAUUCUCAAAAUCUUGUCUUGAAUGCUUUCCGAGAAUAAAUAUUUUGUUGGCUCGAACUUGAAUCUCAUGUUUAUUGAAUUCAUUGAGAUCUUGAUAUACUCGUUCUUGGAACCUGACAUGGAACUUAUUGUUCUUCUUGAAUUCCAUAUUCACGACAAUUCUUUCAUUGGCUUGAAUUGAAAUCUGAACAUGUUCAUUAUCCUGAGACUUAAUAUUCAAUUAUCGUGAUCGUGACUUAUCUUGUGAACGAUUGACUUGAUUCUUGAAUUGAUUCUUGAAAUGAAUGACUUGAUAUUCCUAAAAGGAAUGAUAUUGAUUCUUGAACCUACUGUCCC
rnacentral:lncRNA from 1 species